GUUGUGUGCUAGACUAAUAGGUGUGUGAGGCCUGGACAAUCACCUUGCUGGUGGCACACAGAAGUGAAAUACUGCAGGAGCAAAAUUCACUAAUUGAGAGAGUGGACCACUAACCUUCCAUCAAUCAGCACACAGCACUCAACACAGAGUGGAUUUUGAGGUCUGCAAAUGAAAAUGAAAUUCCUCAAAGUAUGACAGGAAGAGAAUGGUGCAGUGGGGAAUUAUGGUAGAAGAAGGCCAAGUAUUGAUCUGGGGAGCAGACACUUCUCAAGACAGGCUGAAAGGAUCCACAAAAAAACCAUCACAGCCCCUGGGGAUCCACC